rnacentral:rRNA from 1 species
CUAGGGCAGCGUACACAUGCAAGUCGAGCGGCAGCGGGAGGUGCUUGCACCUCGCCGGCGAGCGGCGGACGGGUGAGUAACGCAUAGGAAUCUGCCCGGUAGUGGGGGAUAACCUGGGGAAACCCAGGCUAAUACCGCAUACGUCCUACGGGAGAAAGCAGGGGCUCUUCGGACCUUGCGCUAUCGGAUGAGCCUAUGCCGGAUUAGCUAGUUGGUAGGGUAAUGGCCUACCAAGGCAACGAUCCGUAGCUGGUCUGAGAGGAUGAUCAGCCACACUGGGACUGAGACACGGCCCAGACUCCUACGGGAGGCAGCAGUGGGGAAUAUUGGACAAUGGGCGCAAGCCUGAUCCAGCCAUGCCGCGUGUGUGAAGAAGGCUUUCGGGUUGUAAAGCACUUUCAGUGGGGAAGAAGGCCUGUCGGCUAAUACCCGGCAGGAACGACAUCACCCACAGAAGAAGCACCGGCUAACUCCGUGCCAGCAGCCGCGGUAAUACGGAGGGUGCGAGCGUUAAUCGGAAUUACUGGGCGUAAAGCGCGCGUAGGCGGCGUGAUAAGCCGGUUGUGAAAGCCCCGGGCUCAACCUGGGAACGGCAUCCGGAACUGUCAUGCUAGAGUGCAGGAGAGGAAGGUAGAAUUCCCGGUGUAGCGGUGAAAUGCGUAGAGAUCGGGA